ensembl:lncRNA
CGCAGGUUUGCGGCACGUGCCGCGCGUGUGUGCCCCGCUUUCAGCAAAGGGGCACCACCUCCGCCCCUUCCCCGCGCAGGCGCACACCCCAUCCCGUCUCACGUGAGCCUCAACCGGCCGAGCGCCCCUCCCUGCUCUUCCUGUCCCCUCAGCACCAGUCAGCCCUCUCCUUCCUCCUUUGUCAGGCUACUUCACCCCAUCAACCACGCUGUCCUCAAGGCCCUACCUUGGCGCCCUGUGGCUUGCUCUCCAGGUUCCUCGCCAGUGGACGCUACUGGACGACCCCACAAUCCUCCACAACUCGCGGGCUCCCCUCUUUUAUAUGUCAAGGUCAUCUUCAGGAUGUUUAAGGAGAGAGUCUGUCGAGGUUAAACAGACAACUUCCAGAGAUGAUCAACCUGGGAGACAAAAUUUGCAGUUACUGAAAUCACUUGUCAAAUAUCUGUGGCAGGUAUGGUAAUGGAACCCAGAGGAAGUUAUAUUACAGCCUAAAUUAGAUGCUUUCAGAGAAGAUCUGUGCUUGCUCCUGUUUGGAAUCAGAGGAUGCUACUGACCACCCACUAUGAAGUCCCCCUCUACAUAGCAGUCUCAACCCUGAAGUGUGUCCAGAACUUCAUCACCGAUCCCAGUGCUGGCAACGUAAUUUGCUUCCAGGAUUUGCAUUUUCUUACUGCUCACUCUUUCAGCCACUCUUUCAUUUUUCCCUUUGUUUUCUUGUUUUCUUGUUGUUGUUGUUGUUGUUGAAAGAGUUACAUCACUUUUGUUUUAGUUAUUGGAUUAAAGGUGUAUUUAUUUUAAUUUUUACCAACUCUCAGUUUUACAUUACCAGGAACACUUUUCAGAGUACAUAAUCAUCCAUGUUGCAGAAUUAGAAUCAUCUUACUUGUGUAUUAAAAAAU